rnacentral:sRNA from 1 species
AGUCAUCCCCUGAUCACUUCAUGGCAUUUCCCCUCCCUUUCCAGUCUUUGUUCCAUUGUCACCUCAGUGAGACCUUCCUUGGCUAUUUAAAAUGGCAGGUAAUUCCUCCUUUCUGUACACACAAAUAUCCUCACACCUCUCCUUUUUUGCUAUUUUUUCAGUAUUGCCUCUUAUCAUCUGACCUAUUUAUUUUCCUUAAACUUAUUUGGUUAUCAUAUGAAAGAGAUUUUUGUUUUAUAGCUGCUGUAUUUUACAGAAAGGCCUGGCAUACAAUAGUUACUCGAUAAGUAUCUGUUGAAUGAAUGGUGUUCUAGGCAUUUAAAGUUUCUCAGGUGAUGAAGUGGGUAACCAGGGUUGAGAGUCACUCGUGUAGAGGUCACCUUGAAUUUGUAUCCAACUAUAUUAGCCUGUAUUCCUCUUCUAUCCCUUUUUAAAAUCAGCAACACAGUCACUCCUGGCGGCAAACCAAACAAAACCAGAGUCAUCUGGGGAAAAGUAACUCGGGCCCAUGGAAACAGUGGCAUGGUUCGUGCCAAAUUCCGAAGCAAUCUUCCUGCUAAGGCCAUUGGACACAGAAUCCGAGUGAUGCUGUACCCCUCAAGGAUUUAAACUAACGAAAAAUCAAUAAAUAAAUGUGGAUUUGUGCUCUUGUAUUUUUAAGUGGAUUAAAAAACUUACUGCCUUAAA